CACACUAAACCCUAACCUGGAACAUGUAUUACUGUGUGAUGAGAUGAUGAUAUUGUCCUCCUUCGCACGUAUUCAACUAUCUGCUAUCAUCUUCUACCCACAAAAAUAGAACUCUUAGAAUCACGUAGAGAGACCGAGAGAUUGGAGUUAUAAUCUCGAUUUCCAUAUGAAAUCAUCGAAAAGGAAAUUAUUAGCAAAGGAUAAGAAUCAAUACAAGUUCUUUUCGUAAAGGAAAUUAUUAGCAAAGGAUAAAAAUCAAUACAAGUUCUUUUCGGGAAGGAAGACUCAUGCAGGUGAUAAAAGAUCCUGCAAGAUAUGGAUGUUUCCGGAGAAUGCUUGGUUAGAUGUGUUUUGAUUUUAUAGAUGAAGGUUUAUUCCGUAACUCUAUCUUAUUUGGAUGCAAAGGUUUGGUUAGUUGUGUUUUCAUUUUGCAGUUCAAGUUUAUAAGCAGAUGUGAUUAGGAUUUUUGAUUUUUACUGAAAACCAGACGUGGUUAAGGGUUUGUGAACCAUAAGAUCCUGUUGUCUUUUGGUAAACCUUAAUUUGUGGUCUUACAAACUAAGAUUUUCCCUGAAGGUUUUUUCUAAAGUAAAUACACAAUGGACAUGAUUAAGAUAAAGACAUAAAGAAUGUGCAGGUUGAAAUGCUGAAUGGGGUAGGCAAAGACAGGGAGAAUGUGCUAAUUUAACGGGUAUGCUGGUGUUUGUGAACUGACUUGGUCAUAUUGCUGAUUUUACAUUGUGAUUGGUCGCUAUCUCCAACUAAGGCCGGGUAGAUAUCCCCAACCACCCCUCUGGGUAUAGUUUGAUUGAGAUGGAAAGAUGGUCAUGAUUAUUGGUCGGCAUCCAUACUUCAAUAGCACUUGAAAGACUACUGUAAAGUGUUAUAGGGAUUUCAAGAAAUUCACCAACAUCCCGAAAGAAAUUCCAAAUCCAACGAGAGGCUUUGCACAAUAAUUAUUUUAAUACGGUGUAUCUUGUGAGGCUAAACCCAAAGCCAACUUAAAAUUAUAGUAAAUUUGAUUCAUGUUAGAUUUUAUUA